AAUACCCCAUACUCCUUCUUACUCUAAGGUAAGUCGGGAAAACUCCGGUGCCAAGGGAUGGGGCUGUAUCCUAUCAGCUUGUUGGUGAGGUAAUGGCUCACCAAGGCAAUGACGGGUAGCUGGUCUGAGAGGAUGAUCAGCCACACUGGAACUGAGACACGGUCCAGACUCCUACGGGAGGCAGCAGUGGGGAAUAUUGCACAAUGGGGGAAACCCUGAUGCAGCAACGCCGCGUGGAGGAUGACGCAUUUCGGUGUGUAAACUCCUUUUAUAAGGGAAGAUAAUGACGGUACCUUAUGAAUAAGCACCGGCUAACUCCGUGCC
rnacentral:rRNA from 1 species